CCCAGUUCUUGUACGCAUAAAUCAAUAAAUCUUUAAAACAAACAAAAGAAGCCCAGCGUGACAGUUUUCCUUGACAGUCGCAUUCUGUUUGCUAUAACUGAUCUGCAACAUUUUGGGUAAAGAUAGUU